rnacentral:tRNA from 1 species
GCCUGGGUGGCUCAGUCGGUUAAGCGUCCGACUUUAACCAGGUCACUAUCUCGCGGUCCGUGGGUUCAAGCCCCGCCACAGGCU